GGGGUUAGAAGCUUCUAGCAGCCAUUUUGAUUAAAACAUGUGUGCUCAGCUUUAUAUAUGAUAUAUCGUGGAAUGAGUAAAUAGACAUUUUCACUAACUAGGAAAUAUGUGCAGACCUUAUUUCCACAACAGUCCCCCUUAAAAUGGCUAUUUACCAUAACAACUGCUGCUGUCCCUAAUAUGUCCCUAGCUGCCUGCAGCUCAUCUGUCUUAACAAGCAUCGAACACUUCACUCCGUGGGUAACCCGCAGCGGCUAGUCCACCACAUCUCCACACGUGAGACUCGCCUGCCAAGACAGACGCUUUCCCUACACUGUCCCUACAGGAGAGCAGUUGUCUGUUUGAACU